rnacentral:misc_RNA from 1 species
AAUUGCUCAAAAUUCUAUACAUAGUGGUAAACAACUACAACGAUCAAAGCUCAAAGGAGCGCAACUCUAAAUUACAUUAUAUUUUCAGGAAAAUUGGUACAAGCGAGGACAAGAAAUAGAGAAAUCCUACAGCCAAGUAUGAGGAAAUAAAAUAACCACAUUAUAAUUUACAGAGUAUAAUCACCUACAGAUCCCUUCUGCACAGUGGACAAGAUCCAUGCCUCAACAGCCAUGUAUCGAUGCAAGGAAGGUGAAACAUGUGAUGACAUUGUGGUAAACAUCUAGCAGUCUCUCCCCGUUGGAAGUCCUGUAGGCAGACUGAACAGGAGACUCUCUCUCCCGAAUCAUCCACAUCAUUAUCAUUAGUAAUUACAAUCUUAGGUAUCUUUUCAACAGAAUCUCCAGGUAAACCCUUUGCCCCACCUACAUCGAAAAUGUUAGGGAACUCGUCAUACGCAGAUUCAAUGGCUCCCAUCUGACUCUGUACUGCACUUAGCAUUGCAGGACCAAUCCGCUCACGAACUAGUCUACCACUUAAUAGGCUCGCGAUUACAUCAAUCAAGUAAAGAAGACAACCAAUACCAGAUUCAUCAGACUGCCAUAGUAAUAGAGAUGAUUCAAAGACUUCAAGAGAGAAAACAGCACCAGAUAUGGCACCAACUGCAGCACCUCUAACAAAUCCACUUUCUGUCUCCUGCCCUAUCAAAGCUCCAGUCAUUGCUCCUAAUAAGGUGCCCACUAGUGCAAAGAAAAAGGUGAAGAUUGCAGAGAAUACAUUGCCGACGAUCGUAGAUACGGCAAAGCUAAAACAAUAUUUAACCCUUUCAACGAAAUCUCCGAUUGAAAAAUUAGAAACAGAGGAUGAUGAAGGCAAAGCACGAGAUGGGUAUGCAUAAAAGUCCAUUCUUUUUUUGUAGGUCGAUGAUGGAUUCGAGAAAAAUCUUGGGGUUUGUCCUUAUUAGUAUAAAGAUUCUGGGGCUCCAAGAAAGCAGCAAAUAUAUAUGUGUUUUUUUUGAAAGUAGCGAUGUAUAUAUAAGAGUAGGCAAAGAGAAGAAGGUG